rnacentral:rRNA from 1 species
CGCGGCCUAUCAGCUUGUUGGUGGGGUAACGGCCCACCAAGGCGACGACGGGUAGCCGGCCUGAGAGGGCGACCGGCCACACUGGGACUGAGACACGGCCCAGACUUCUACGGGAGGCAGCAGUGGGGAAUAUUGCGCAAUGGGCGAAAGCCUGACGCAGCGACGCCGCGUGAGGGAUGAAGGCCUUCGGGUUGUAAACCUCUUUCAGCAGGGACGAAGCGAAAGUGACGGUACCUGCAGAAGAAGCACCGGCCAACUACGUGCCAGCAGCCGCGGUAAUACGUAGGGUGCAAGCGUUGUCCGGAAUUAUUGGGCGUAAAGAGCUCGUAGGCGGUCUGUCGCGUCGGCUGUGAAAACUCGGGGCUCAACCCCGAGCCUGCAGUCGAUACGGGCAGACUAGAGUGCUGUAGGGGAGACUGGAAUUCCUGGUGUAGCGGUGAAAUGCGCAGAUAUCAGGAGGAACACCGGUGGCGAAGGCGGGUCUCUGGGCAGUAACUGACGCUGAGGAGCGAAAGCGUGGGGAGCGAACAGGAUUAGAUACCCUGGUAGUCCACGCCGUAAACGGUGGGUGCUAGGUGUAGGGGGUAUUCCACGCCCUCUGUGCCGCAGCUAACGCAUUAAGCACCCCGCCUGGGGAGUACGG